UACGUAGGGGGCGAGCGUUAUCCGGAUUCAUUGGGCGUAAAGCGCGCGUAGGCGGCCGCCUAAGCGGAACCUCUAACCCCGGGGCUCAACCUCGGGCCGGGUUCCGGACUGGGCGGCUCGAGUGCGGUAGAGGAGAGCGGAAUUCCCGGUGUAGCGGUGGAAUGCGCAGAUAUCGGGAAGAACACCGAUGGCGAAGGCAGCUCUCUGGGCCGUCACUGACGCUGUGGCGCGAAAGCUGGGGGAGCGAACAGG
rnacentral:rRNA from 1 species